GUUUGUGGGAAAGGGUUUAGUGAAAAUGAUAACUUACAGAAACACAUGAGAACACAUACUGGUGAUAAACCUUAUAAAUGUGAUGUAUGUGUUAAAGAAUUUAAACGAAAUGAUGACCUAAAGAGACACUUGCAAACACAUACUAGUGAAAAACCUCAUAAGUGUGAUUUAUGUGGUAAAGGAUUCAGACAGCUUCGUUAUGUACAAAGACACAUGAGAAUACAUCAUGGUGACACACCUUAUGAAUGUGAUGAAUGUGGUAAAAGAUUUAGUGAGCAAGGAAGUUUAAAGAAACACAUCAGAACACAUACAGGUGUUAAACUUUUUGACUGUGAUGUAUGUGGUAAAGGAUUUAUUGAUCAAGGUAAUUUAAAAACACAUGCAAAAACACAUACAGGUGACAAACCUUAUGACUGUUGUGUAUGUGGUAAAGGAUUUAGUGAGAAAAGAAAUUUACAAAGACAUGCAAAAACACAUACAGGUGACAAACCUUAUAACUGUGAUGUGUGUGGUAAAGAGUUUAGUGAGAAAAGUAAUUUACAGAGACACAUGACAAUACAUACAGGUGACAAACCUCAUGAGUGUGUUUUCUGUGAUAAAAGGUUCAGUCAGCUUGGUCAUUUACAGAUACAUGUAAAAACACAUACAGGUGACAAACCUCAUAUCUGUGUUCUCUGUGAUAAAAGGUUCGGUCAGCUUGGUCAUUUACAGAGACACAUGGGAACACAUACAGGUUACAAACCUCAUGAAUGUAAUGUGUGUGGUAAAAGGUUUAGUGAGAAUGGUAGUUUGAAAAUUCAUAUGAGAAUACAUACUGGAGAUAAACCUUAUGAGUGUGAUGUAUGUGGUAAACGGUUUACUCAGCUUGCUGGUUUACAAAUUCACAUGAGAAUACAUACAGGCUAUAAACCUUAUGACUGUGAUAUAUGUGGGAAAGCGUUUAGUUAUCAUAAUAGUUUUCAGAUUCACAUGAGAACACAUACAGGGGUUAAACCUUAUGACUGUGAUAUAUGUAGGAAAGCGUUUAGUCAUCGUAAUAGUUUACAGAUUCACAAGAGAACACAUACAGAUGAUAAACCUUGUGACUGUGGUGUAUGUGGCAAAUGGUUUAAACGACUUGACAGUUUAAAGAUACACAUGAGAAUACACACUGAGGAUAAAGCAGAUAACAAACCCUUAGAUAUGUGAGGCCACACUUAAAAAUAUUUGGUUUGCCCAAACCCUACCCAAAGGUUGAGACAGUGGGUAGGUAAGUAGGCAUUUCCUUUUGUUUUCAAAAAAAGAAAUUGAAGUAUCAGAUGUUUAUUAGUCUUCAUGCCUAUGAUAUUUGAUUUAAAAAAAAAACUUCUUCAAAUCAGGACAAUAAAAGAAUUUGAGUAGGCAGCUUUUUUCUGGGUAGGUAGCGUUUGGGCAAACAAACCUUUAGUUAAUAUUUAAUAUGGCCUGAAGUAUUUGUGUUGUAUAAUAAUGGAAACUGAUAUAUGAAUGGAAACAUAUACCUGUCAUUUGGUGUGAAGUUUAUAUUAUGGGCCAAACAAUAUCUGAAAUGAUGACUCAUUGCUCAUAGAGAUGUAUAAGAACACGUAGAUAAAUCAGAACACAUAACGAUAGUCUUUAAACUGUGAUUUCUGUAUAUUGAUAAUGAAAAGGUUAAAGUUGAAUUGUACUUAGUAUACCAUGGUAUACAUAUAUAUCAUUGUAUAUUGUUAACCAAAUGAAUGUUAUUUCUUUGUUUUAAGGAUCAUAUCCAUGAAAGUUCAUCUGUGA
rnacentral:lncRNA from 1 species